rnacentral:rRNA from 1 species
UACGUAGGGUGCAAGCGUUAAUCGGAAUUACUGGGCGUAAAGCGUGCGCAGGCGGUUUUGUAAGACUGUCGUGAAAUCCCCGGGCUCAACCUGGGAAUGGCGAUGGUGACUGCAAGGCUAGAGUUUGGCAGAGGGGGGGUAGAAUUCCACGUGUAGCAGUGAAAUGCGUAGAGAUGUGGAGGAACACCGAUGGCGAAGGCAGCCCCCCUGGGCCAACACUGACGCUCAGGCACGAAAGCGUGGGGAGCAAACAGG